rnacentral:rRNA from 1 species
GUGGGGAAUUUUGGACAAUGGGCGCAAGCCUGAUCCAGCAAUGCCGCGUGCAGGAAGAAGGCCUUCGGGUUGUAAACUGCUUUUGUACGGAACGAAACGGUCCGGGUUAAUACCCUGGGCUAAUGACGGUACCGUAAGAAUAAGCACCGGCUAACUACGUGCCAGCAGCCGCGGUAAUACGUAGGGUGCAAGCGUUAAUCGGAAUUACUGGGCGUAAAGCGUGCGCAGGCGGUUUUGUAAGACAGGCGUGAAAUCCCCGGGCUCAACCUGGGAAUUGCGCUUGUGACUGCAAGGCUGGAGUGCGGCAGAGGGGGAUGUAAUUCCGCGUGUAGCAGUGAAAUGCGUAGAUAUGCUGAGGAACACCGAUGGCGAAGGCAAUCCCCUGGGCCUGCACUGACGCUCAUGCACGAAAGCGUGGGGAGCCAACAGGAUUAGAAACCCCUGUAGUCC